GCCCGGAUAGCUCAGUUGGUAGAGUGAAGGGUGAACUCCUUAGGUCCUUGGUUCGAUGCCGAGUCCGGGCACCA
rnacentral:tRNA from 1 species